rnacentral:rRNA from 1 species
GACGAACGCUGGCGGCGUGCUUAACACAUGCAAGUCGAACGGAAAGGCCCUGCUUUUGUGAGGUGCUCGAGUGGCGAACGGGUGAGUAACACGUGAGUAACCUGCCCUUGACUUUGGGAUAACUUCAGGAAACUGGGGCUAAUACCGGAUAGGAGCUCCUGCUGCAUGGUGGGGGUUGGAAAGUUUCGGCGGUUGGGGAUGGACUCGCGGCUUAUCAGCUUGUUGGUGGGGUAGCGGCUUACCAAGGCUUUGACGGGUAGCCGGCCUGAGAGGGUGACCGGCCACAUUGGGACUGAGAUACGGCCCAGACUCCUACGGGAGGCAGCAGUGGGGAAUAUUGCACAAUGGGCGGAAGCCUGAUGCAGCAACGCCGCGUGCGGGAUGACGGCCUUCGGGUUGUAAACCGCUUUCGCCUGUGACGAAGCGUGAGUGACGGUAAUGGGUAAAGAAGCACCGGCUAACUACGUG